ensembl:lncRNA
GCAGAGGGUAAGAAAAGGGAGUUGAGGGCAGCACAAGCAGAGGCUUGCUGCCCCUCCAUUUUGCUUUACAUCUUUAAUGAGAUACGUGAAGAAAAGGAGUCCCUUACACGCCACACACAGAUGCUACAACAUAUGGAGAGACGCCGCACAGCAAUAUUUCUCUGGUUAUUAAACAGGAGGCACCUAACCAGUCGUUCACGGCAUCAUCAUGCCCAGCUGUCCUUUGUGUCCUGGAUACUGCUGUUGACAAGGUAAUAACAGGAGAAAGCAGUUGAGAAGAAUGAUGUGCAGACCUGGGCCUCUGGGCUUGCAGCUUCGCCAAGCCAGACUGCUGGCUGGAUUGCCAGGAAGCAGGAGCUGCCCAGCCCAGUGGGGGGCCACCUUGCCAAGGGGCGCAAGCCAUAUGGCUUCUGCUGCGACUCAGCCCAGGCAGGGCACAGACUGCUCUCUGCUCUUCCUGGCAGUCCCUGAGGGCUCGUUUAUUAAGACCCUGAUUACCACCAGACAUCUCUGGAGGCUGACCUCCCAACCACAAACCCCAAAUGGGAACAGGAGCUCUAGACAUUUUAAAGAGCAAGACAUGCUUGCUUUUCUGGCAGCUCUGAAGGCAUACAGGGUAAUGAAAAUGCAUUCAGGGACUUCCACGGUGGUCCAGACGCUCAGACGCUGCACGCCCAAUGCAAGGGGCCCAGGUUCGAUCCCUGGCCAGGGAACUAGAUCCCACAUGCCACAACUAAGACCCGGAGCAGCCUAACAGAUUUUAAAAAAGAAAAAUGCAUUCAACUGCACACAGACGGGGUUCCUUGAAGCCUCAGUGGUGACUGAGGAACUGAGAACAGGUGAGUCAGCCCAGGCAAGCAGCCCACUCCAGAGCCCAGAAAGAGACUUGUCAUCCACCCCAGAGUCCAAGCUCCCAGGACUUCUCAGAGUCACUCAUGAAGCCCCUCAACAGUCCUGAAAUGAAGGUAAAUAAUACAGUCGUUUUUCAUACAGAGAAAAUGAGAUGCGCCGCUGAGGUAUGGCUUUGGCUCUCCUAGUUCCCAUCCCUUUCCUGAAUGUCUGAGCCUCUGAAGCUGACUUCCAGUGGGAAUGCAAUAGCAAGGCUCACUCUGCCACGAUUCCCCUCCAUCUUUCAGAAAAGAUUCUAUGUGCUAGGAAUCCUCACAGGUCUGUGUGACCUUACACAAGUCACUUAACCUCUCUGUGCUUCAAUUUGCUCAUCUGUAAUUUGAAGGGCUAGCAUGGGAUGGGGACUAGGGCCUCCUCCGGCUCUGCGAUCCUGGGGCUUUAAUUUCUCCAGUCUCAGUCAGCCCUUUCCAACAAUAGCCAGACUCCACAGGAGGGAGCAGAAUUUCCUCCUCCGGCUGAUAAGAAAUGUGGUCAUGGCUGGAGUCUUGUCGACCUCCUUUGUCCUCGGAAUGAAGGAGACAGGGAGGUUUCAGAUGUUAUUGACACUAACAGCAGGGCCUGGAGGCGACCACACUCUUAGGGAAGGACCACACAGAGUUGUCCCCGUGGGCGGUGCAGAUCCAGAGUCAAGACCCCAGGAUGUUUUAAUAACUAUUUCUCAGUCGGGAAAAAAAAAAAAAAGGACUCAUUUUAUUCUGCACAAGGGUCUAGGGACAAAUCCAAGUCUCCCAGGAGGCAACUCCUCUCGCCUAUAAUGGGGGAUUGGCUCGGCUCAGCUGCACUGACAAAGGCUGAAGACAGCAUGCAGCGGUGCGGGCAGCUCCCUGUAGUUCCAUGUGAACAUGACUCACAGCGGUUAUGAAUAUCAAACCUCCUUUGAUGUGUUCCCGGACAUGAGGAGC